UCGACCAUUACAGAUCUCAAACGAUUAAGCAAUUACAGAAUAGUAAACCAGUAGCUAGAUUGAAUCAUCAGAUUGGGAAGAAAUACCCGGAUUAAAAACUGGAAAGUUGAGUUCAGCAGAGCGCGUAACAACAUGUGGAGAGCUGCCUUUCCCAACAGGUGUCUGUAAGAAGUUUUCUUCUCAGAGCAUUUUCACGCAAUUUCAACCCGAACGUCGGAAGAAUAAUGGAAAUACGUAGUUUUUUUUUCUCAACAUGUCGUAGAUCUUAAAAUAAUACGAAAACGCAAUAAACUGGAGUACAUUUUUUGUGCGCUCCCUUGAGGACUUGCGCAUUGGAGAUACGUUCACUUUUCUGGAUAUAAUACAUAAGCAUUGUAUUUAUUGAUGUCGAUUCCUUUUUCUUAUUUUUUUUGUACUUCAAAUGAAUUAAUCGAUAUAUCUCAGAUGUUGAUUCUGAAUGCAGAGUGAUUUCGUUUUUCUGCGCUGGAUCUCCACCACCUGAUCUUCUUCAUAGCCCAUGGGAGUCGCCUCUUCUCCAACAUCUCCUGACUGACAUCUAUGAUCGAUUGGAUUGAUUGGGAAUACAACUAGCUCUUGAGAGGGACACUCAUUUGGUAUAUUAAUAAUGACCAUCACAUUGAGAUCGCCAAACUGAUAACCUGCGCUCAGCUGAAAGUCUGAACUGGUGGACGAUGAAGACAGUUUCAUAUAUUCUUGCUGCGUUGAUCAUCUGGAACUCAGCAGCCUGUGUAAGUGGAGAACAAGAACAAUUUCAAGAGCCCUCUGAGUCCCCCUGGGCUCUGCAGUCUGUGGCAGAGGAGGAAACGCGUUUACCCUGUCGAUUCAAUGUAUCCAACAGUGAGAUUAAGGUGGUGCAGGUGAUGUGGAUUCGAGAAAACUCAAAUGGAGGUGAAGAGCAGAUUAUCACUGCUCAUUUCAGUGAAGGCCAGACAGAAAACCCUGCAUACUCGGGGCGUGUUCGGUUUGCAACCAGCGACCCAAUAACAGACUCUGCUCUGAUUAUUAUGGGCACACGUUCUGCAGAUGAGGGCAAAUACAUCUGCAAAGUCGCCACCUUCCCCACUGGAAACUUUGAGACAGAGAUUUUGGUCACAGUGUGGACUAAACCCAUUACAUCCCUGCAACCGUUCAUCCUGGUUGAGGGCCAGUCAUUCGGUCCGGCCGCUGUAUGCCGUUCGGUGGCUAAGCCAAUGGCAGGCCUCUCCUGGGACACGGAGCUCGCGGGUCAGAGUCAAAACCGUAGCUCAGAUGGUGAGGUGGCCUCUAUCCAGUUUUCUCUCCACCCUCUCCGUAACAUGAACGGGCAGAAGCUGGACUGUCUGGUCUGGCAUCCAUCGCAAAAAGGUCCAGAGAGGAUCUCCAGUAACCUUAUAGUACACUACCCUCCGAAUGCAUUGAUAUCUGGCUAUGAGGACAACUGGUAUGCUGAAAUGCAAGGAGCCGCACUACAAUGCAGCGGUCAAGGAAAUCCAGAACCUCAGCAAUUCAACUGGAUGAGGAAAGGUGAAGCUCUACCAGAGGGUGUGACUGUGGACGGUGGCACGCUGCACUUUUCCAGGCCCCUGAGCUUGACAGAUCAAGGAGUUUAUGUCUGCACCACCACCAAUCUGGUGGGAUCUGGAAAAGCUGAGAUUCUAAUAAAUAUAUCAGAGUCGCCUCCGAGUCGCACACCAGUGAACUACAUGCUGAUUAUUGUUAUUGCUGGUGUUGCUGCAGUGAUUGUUGUCACUCUUAUCAUAGUGAUAAUUUCAGUAAACCGCUACUAUAAGCGCAAAAAUCAACAACUGGCUAUAGAGCUGGAUGCAAAAAAGGAGGAAAUCAACACUCUAUCAAGACAAGCCUCGUUUAGGAGAGUCAACUCAGGAAGCACAGAAAACAGAUACUCGGACGACAAUAAUCCUUUAAGAGUUGAAGGGACAAUACGCACAAGUUUCUCCUCACUGGAUCGUUCUCGCUCCAGGGACAGUCGUUCCACUCUGGGAGGGGUGGACUCACUCGGUCGCCCUGCAAUUUAUAACACGUCCAGAAGAGGUCGAGAAAAACUCAUGGACAGAACUGAAAGAGAAUCCACUCGGUUGAUGAUGGAGUCUUAUGAGCAGGACAGUAACAUGUCACAGGAAACCCAUCUUCUCCCUCCUCUCCACCCCUCUUCUUAUUCAAUGGAACAGGCUAUUGAAAUUGUCCGGUCUCGGAACGGCAGCGCCAUUCUCCCAGCAGAGGGGAGGCCACAGUCAGGAGGAAGUAGCAGAGGGGGCAGCAGAGGGCAUAAUUCGCCCUUAAUAUCCACGUACCCGACUCUUACAGAUGAGGAGGAAGAAGAUUCUGUGAGCCCUACGGAUUCAGGAGUCCACAGAGGUUUAAUGGAGCCUGACGGUUAUGAAAACGGCGGCAGCGAGACGGCGAGUUCUCAGAUAUCUGAGGCGCUAUCCAGUCAUUUUGAGCGCACUAAUGGCACACUGCGGCCCAAGUCGAAACCCAAUAACAUCCUGCUCCCGGCCCACACAACACUUUUCCUUCCACCACAUAGCCCAACUAUCCACAAAGCUCAGAUCGUUUAGAGGGUUUGUUUGGAAACGUCUUUAUCGCAAGACAAAGUCAUCGCAAAGCCACAUAAACACAGCUGAUAUUACAACAGAAGGAUGUGUUCCUCUGUAAUUUCACUCUUCAAAAGACUGUGUCUGGACAACUAACCUGAAAAUAGAUCUUUUGUUUGAACUUCUAUAUGAAUACUUUCUCAAGGUGGCAAAACAUGGACAGAAUGGCCAUCAUCUUAACUAAAACCUGCUAAACAAUACCAGCAUUACUCAAACAGUUCCUCAAAUAAUUGCAUAAUCCACUGUGUAUUCUGGAACUGGGAUGCUUGAGUAUUAUGGGUCACAACAUGUGUUUCAGGUACAGAUUAACUGGAAUCCGCCAGAGUUGAGCUCCUCUGUGUGACCAGGGAAUGGAAUUAAGAUCUUUUUUUAUUAUUAUUGCAACCUAAAGCUUCACUUGAAUUACUGUUGAUGGAGAAAAUACUACAUGAACUCUUUUCUGGCGAGUUAAUCCUUCACUGUGACUUUUUGCUCUUGAUGUCUCUAAUCCAGAGGUGUACAAAUGGUGUUUAGACAUAUUUUUUUAAUAUAUGUGUGUAUUAUGUAUUUUGACUGGAAACUACCCACUGCAUGAAUAGUAUUAUGAAGUAUGGCAUUACCAUGUUAUGAAAACGGCUCCUGCGUGUUCACAGAAUGUCAUUGUCGUUGUAGGAGUGACAUUGUCAUUGUUUACAACAUUUAUCAGAAUUAGCUUUAUUCGCCAGGUGUGCGCAAACACACAAGAAGAUUUAUACUUCAUUAUGUACUAGUAAAUGUAUUUAGUUUUAAUAAGCGGGUAGUAUUACCGCAAGCUCCUGAGAUACUCCUGUGAUCUUUCUAUCUUACAAAAUAUAAAGCCAUGGGUCCUGAUGGUAA